rnacentral:rRNA from 1 species
GACGAACGCUGGCGGCGUGCUUAACACAUGCAAGUCGAACGGAAAGGCCCUGCUUUUGUGGGGUGCUCGAGUGGCGAACGGGUGAGUAACACGUGAGUAACCUGCCCUUGACUUUGGGAUAACUUCAGGAAACUGGGGCUAAUACCGGAUAGGAGCUCCUGCUGCAUGGUGGGGGUUGGAAAGUUUCGGCGGUUGGGGAUGGACUCGCGGCUUAUCAGCUUGUUGGUGGGGUAGUGGCUUACCAAGGCUUUGACGGGUAGCCGGCCUGAGAGGGUGACCGGCCACAUUGGGACUGAGAUACGGCCCAGACUCCUACGGGAGGCAGCAGUGGGGAAUAUUGCACAAUGGGCGGAAGCCUGAUGCAGCAACGCCGCGUGCGGGAUGACGGCCUUCGGGUUGUAAACCGCUUUCGCCUGUGACGAAGCGUGAGUGACGGUAAUGGGUAAAGAAGCACCGGCUAACUACGUGCCAGCAGCCGCGGUGAUACGUAGGGUGCGAGCGUUGUCUGGAUUUAUUGGGCGUAAAGGGCUCGUAGGUGGUUGAUCGCGUCGGAAGUGUAAUCUUGGGGCUUAACCCUGAGCGUGCUUCCGAUACGGGUUGACUUGAGGAAGGUAGGGGAGAAUGGAAUUCCUGGUGGAGCGGUGGAAUGCGCAGAUAUCAGGAGAACACCAGUGGCGAAGGCGGUUCUCUGGGCCUUUCCUGACGCUGAGGAGCGAAAGCGUGGGGAGCGAACAGGCUUAGAUACCCUGGUAGUCCACGCUGUAAACGGUGGGUACUAGGUGUGGGGUCCAUUCCACGGGUUCCGUGCCGUAGCUAACGCUUUAAGUACCCCGCCUGGGGAGUACGGCCGCAAGGCUAAAACUCAAAGGAAUUGACGGGGCCCCGCACAAGCGGCGGAGCAUGCGGAUUAAUUCGAUGCAACGCGUAGAACCUUACCUGGGUUUGACAUGGAUCGGGAGUGCUCAGAGAUGGGUGUGCCUCUUUUGGGGUCGGUUCACAGGUGGUGCAUGGCUGUCGUCAGCUCGUGUCGUGAGAUGUUGGGUUAAGUCCCGCAACGAGCGCAACCCUUGUUCACUGUUGCCAGCACGUUAUGGUGGGGACUCAGUGGAGACCGCCGGGGUCAACUCGGAGGAAGGUGGGGAUGACGUCAAGUCAUCAUGCCCCUUAUGUCCAGGGCUUCACGCAUGCUACAAUGGCUGGUACAGAGAGUGGCGAGCCUGUGAGGGUGAGCGAAUCUCGGAAAGCCGGUCUCAGUUCGGAUUGGGGUCUGCAACUCGACCUCAUGAAGUCGGAGUCGCUAGUAAUCGCAGAUCAGCAACGCUGCGGUGAAUACGUUCCCGGGGCU